GAGGAAAAGAAACUAACAAGGAUUCCCCUAGUAACGGCGAGUGAAGAGGGAAGAGCCCAAGUUUGAAAGCUGGCGUCUUCGGCGUCCGCAUUGUAAACUCGAGAAGCGUUUUCCGCGCCGGACCAAGCUCAAGUCCCUUGGAAUAGGGCAUCAUAGAGGGUGAGAGUCCCGUACUUGGCUUGGAGUCCCCGGGGCUUUGUGAUACGCUCUCCAAGAGUCGAGUUGUUUGGGAAUGCAGCUCAAAAUGGGUGGUAAAUGCCAUCUAAGGCUAAAUAUCGAGGAGAGACCGAUAGCGAACAAGUACCGUGAGGGAAAGAUGAAAAGAACUUUGGAAAGAGAGUUAAACAGUACGUGAAAUUGCCGGAAGGGAAGGGUAGGGAGUCAGAUAUGCUGUGCGGAUUCAGCCUUGUCUUUGGACUUGGUGUAUUUUCGUAUUGGCAGGCCAGCAUCGGUUUGUGCCGCUGGAUAUAGGCUUGGGGAAUGUGGCUUUGUCUUCGGUCAAAGUGUUAUAGCCCCUUGCUGAGUACAGCGGCAUGGACCGAGGCACGCAGCGCACCCUCUGGGCGGGCCCUCGGGCACCUUUGCGCUUAGGAUGCUGGCUUAAUGGCUCUCUGCCACCCGUCUUGA
rnacentral:rRNA from 1 species